GACUGGAUAGCUCAGUUGGGUAGAGUGUGGCGCUGAUAAUGCCAAGGCUGCAGGUUCAAUCCCUGCAUGGGGCU
rnacentral:tRNA from 1 species